UACGUAGGGUCCAAGCGUUGUCCGGAAUUAUUGGGCGUAAAGAGCUCGUAGGCGGUGUGUCGCGUCGGAUGUGAAAGCCCGGGGCUUAACUUCGGGUCUGCAUUCGGUACGGGCAUGCUGGAGUUCGGCAGGGGAGACUGGAAUUCCUGGUGUAGCGGUGAAAUGCGCAGAUAUCAGGAGGAACACCGGUGGCGAAGGCAAUCCCGUGGGCCUGCACUGACGCUCAUGCACGAAAGCGUGGGGAGCAAACAGG
rnacentral:rRNA from 1 species